UACGGAGGGUGCAAGCGUUAUCCGGAUUCACUGGGUUUAAAGGGUGCGUAGGAGGGCAGGUAAGUCAGUGGUGAAAUCUUUGGGCUUAACCCGAAAACUGCCAUUGAUACUAUCUGUCUUGAAUGCGGUGGAGGUGAGCGGAAUAUGUCAUGUAGCGGUGAAAUGCUUAGAUAUGACAUAGAACACCGAUUGCGAAGGCAGCUCGCUACACCUGCAUUGACUCUGAGGCACGAAAGCGUGGGGAGCGAACAGG
rnacentral:rRNA from 1 species